ACUAACAGGAUUCUCUUAGUAACUGCGAGUGAACAGAGAUUAGCCCAACAUCGAAGCUCGCAAGCAUAUUGUUUGUUGAGCAAUGUGAUGUUAAGAUGUUUGUUAACGUAGACUGGCCGACUUGAAGUCCAAAUUUGAAUGUGGCAUAUAUGUAUAAACCCAAAGAUGGUGAAAGGCCCGUUCAAGUUGGUAAUCAGAUGUGACAGUUUGCGUGUAUGCAUUCAUCUUGGAGUCGGAUUGCUUGAGAGUGCAGUCCAAAGUUGGUGGUAAACUCCAUCUAAGGCUAAAUACCUGUACGAGUCCGAUAGUUAACAAGUACCGUGAGGGAAAGUUGAAAAGUACUCUGAAGAGAGAGUAAACAGUACGUGAAACUACAUGGAGGUUAAUCAGAUAGAGUCAAGCUGCUU
rnacentral:rRNA from 1 species